UACGUAGGGUGCAAGCGUUAAUCGGAAUUACUGGGCGUAAAGCGCCCGCAGGCGGUCGGCUCAGUGUGGGGUGACAGCUCCCGGCUUAACUGGGAGAGGACCUCGCAGACGGGACGACUCGAGGGCCAGAGAGGGACAUGGAACUCCGGGUGGAGUGGUGAAAUGCGUAGAGAUCCGGAAGAACACCAAAGGCGAAGGCAGUGUCCUGGCUGGUACCUGACGCUCAGGGGCGAAAGCGAGGGGAGCGAACGGG
rnacentral:rRNA from 1 species